rnacentral:rRNA from 1 species
UACGGAGGGAGCUAGCGUUGUUCGGAUUUACUGGGCGUAAAGGGCGCGCAGGCGGUCUUGAAAGUCAGGCGUGAAAGCCCCGGGCUUAACCUGGGAAUUGCGCUUGAUACUCUGAGACUGGAGUACGGGAGAGGAGAGUGGAAUUCCCAGUGUAGAGGUGAAAUUCGUAGAUAUUGGGAAGAACACCAGUGGCGAAGGCGGCUCUCUGGACCGUAACUGACGCUGAGGCGCGAAAGCGUGGGGAGCAAACAGG